GGAUCCCAGCAGCUACAGCACAGAAUAACAGGAAGUUAUAUUUCUGAGUCCUGGAAAGAUAAGAGGCCUUCCCAACAUGCGCUGAACAGUCGGGAAACAAACAAGCGGCCCUUCUCACAACAAAUUGGUGCUGGAAAGGAACAAGCAGCUCCUGCUGAAAUCUGUACACCUGAGACUCUCACCCCCUAGAGAGUACGUGUCUGGAGGAGAACAUGUGAAUGCUGCAGCCCACCAGAGAAAGAGAAACAAAAAUCCCGGGUGUGCUCAAAAGCCAUGGGACCAAUGGGAACAAGGAGGAAGGAGCCGCUCUUUUUUGUACCAGCUCAUUCUUAUGUAAAACUCCCAUCAAGUCAUCUUGGGCUACCAAACUGGCAUUACCGAGAACAGAGGUAGAAGAGACAAGCAUAGUCAUGUCAGUGAGAUGUCUCAUGUGGACUGGUUCUAGCAAGACUCAGAAGAAUGUUUCUGACUAAGUGCAAAAAAACAUUUUCUGAUGGGAAGAGAAAAGCAGCCAAGCACACCAGCCACACACUUAGUAAGUCAAAUAGGGUAGGUGUGGAGUUGAGGGAA